rnacentral:rRNA from 1 species
UAAACGUCCCAGUUCGGAUUGUAGUCUGNAACCCGACUACAUGAAGCUGGAAUCGCUAGUAAUCGCGAAUCAGAAAUGUCGCGGUGAAUACGUUCCCGGGUCUUGUACACACCGCCCGUCACACCAUGGGAGUCGGAAAUGCCCGAAGUCAGUGACCUAACCGAAAGGGAGGAGCUGCCGAAGGUGGAGCCGGUAACUGGGGUGAAGUCGUAACAAGGUAUC